GAUGAACGCUGGCGGCGUGCCUAAUACAUGCAAGUCGAGCGAAUGGAUUGAGAGCUUGCUCUUAUGAAGUUAGCGGCGGACGGGUGAGUAACACGUGGGUAACCUGCCCAUAAGACUGGGAUAACUCCGGGAAACCGGGGCUAAUACCGGAUAACAUUUUGAACCGCAUGGUUCGAAAUUGAAAGGCGGCUUCGGCUGUCACUUAUGGAUGGACCCGCGUCGCAUUAGCUAGUUGGUGAGGUAACGGCGCACCAAGGCAACGAUGCGUAGCCGACCUGGGAGGGGGAUCGGCCACACUGGGACUGAGACACGGCCCAGACUCCUACGGGAGGCAGCAGUAGGGAAUCUUCCGCAAUGGACGAAAGUCUGACGGAGCAACGCCGCGUGAGUGAUGAAGGCUUUCGGGUCGUAAAACUCUGUUGUUAGGGAAGAACAAGUGCUAGUUGAAUAAGCUGGCACCUUGACGGUACCUAACCAGAAAGCCACGGCUAACUACGUGCCAGCCGCCGCCGUAA
rnacentral:rRNA from 1 species